UUUCAUGUGUUUUGAUUAUUUGAUAUGGUGUUUGUGAGAUUAUUCAUAUAUGUCUAUUUGUGUCAAUAGGAAAAAAGUGAGACAAUGAGCAAACUUAGAAAAUCUCAAAUUCCUCAAACCACCAGCCGCAAAGGAUUUCAUAGGCUAGCUAAUGAGAUGAAACAAAAGGCUCCUGAUCCUAGUAAAGUUACUAGAAGUAAAGUUUGGAUAGCAGGUCACACGCAUGCUGAUGGAAGACCCGUGAGGCCAGAAUUCGAAGAAACUAUUG